GGUCAAGCGAUUAAGGGCGCACGGUGGAUGCCUUGGCGUCAAGGGCCGAUGAAGGGCGCGGCCAGACUGCGAAAAGCCUCGGUUAGCUGUCUAGCAAGCUUAGCCGGGGAUUCCCGAAUGGGGCAACCCACCCCGAUAAAAUCGGGGUACUCCUAGCUGAACACAUAGGCUAGGAAGGGGGAACCGGGGGAACUGAAACAUCUAAGUACCCCGAGGAAAGGAGAUUAUUCCCUUAGUAGUGGCGAACGAACGGGGAAAAGCCUAAACCGUAGCUGCUUAGUGGCCUCGGGGCCUAUGUAGCUACGGGGUUGUAAGGCAUGGUGGCCCCGACCCGAGUUGGGGCGAGGAGUUACAAACCGAUCCCUAGUUGAAGGAGCCUGGAAGGGUCAACCGCAGAGGGUGAGAGUCCCGUAGACGAAAGGGGGAGGCUCCUACCAUGUCCUUGAGUACCACGGGACACGAGGAAUCCUGUGGGAAGCUGGGGUGACCACAUCCCAAGGCUAAAUACCCUUGACGACCGAUAGUGAACUAGUACCGUGAGGGAAAGGUGAAAAGAACCCCGUGAGGGGA
rnacentral:rRNA from 1 species